rnacentral:rRNA from 1 species
AUUGAACGCUGGCGGCAUGCCUUACACAUGCAAGUCGAACGGUAACGGGCCUUCGGGUGCCGACGAGUGGCGAACGGGUGAGUAAUAUAUCGGAACGUACCUUUCAGUGGGGGAUAACGUAGCGAAAGUUACGCUAAUACCGCAUAUUCUGUGAGCAGGAAAGCAGGGGACCUGCGGGCCUUGCGCUGAUUGAGCGGCCGAUAUCAGAUUAGCUAGUUGGUGAGGUAAAGGCUCACCAAGGCUACGAUCGGUCGCGGGUCUGAGAGGAUGAUCCGCCACACUGGAACUGAGACACGGUCCAGACUCCUACGGGAGGCAGCAGUGGGGAAUUUUGGACAAUGGGGGCAACCCUGAUCCAGCCAUGCCGCGUGAGUGAAGAAGGCCUUCGGGUUGUAAAGCUCUUUCGGCCGGGAAAAAAUCGCAUCAGCUAAUACCUGGUGUGGAUGAUGGUACCGGAAUAAGAAGCACCGGCUAACUACGUGCCAGCCGCCGCCGUAAAAC